GACGAACGCUGGCGGCGUGCUUAACACAUGCAAGUCGAACGGAAAGGCCCUGCUUUUGUGGGGUGCUCGAGUGGCGAACGGGUGAGUAACACGUGAGUAACCUGCCCUUGACUUUGGGAUAACUUCAGGAAACUGGGGCUAAUACCGGAUAGGAGCUCCUGCUGCAUGGUGGGGGUUGGAAAGUUUCGGCGGUUGGGGAUGGACUCGCGGCUUAUCAGCUUGUUAGUGGGGUAGUGGCUUACCAAGGCUUUGACGGGUAGCCGGCCUGAGAGGGUGACCGGCCACAUUGGGACUGAGAUACGGCCCAGACUCCUACGGGAGGCAGCAGUGGGGAAUAUUGCACAAUGGGCGGAAGCCUGAUGCAGCAACGCCGCGUGCGGGAUGACGGCCUUCGGGUUGUAAACCGCUUUCGCCUGUGACGAGGCGUGAGUGACGGUAAUGGGUAAAGAAGCACCGGCUAACUACGUG
rnacentral:rRNA from 1 species